UCGCCGCGUACGCGCAGAGCUACGCGGCGCAGCGCCAGGGCGACUGCCAGCUGAUCCACUCCGGCGGGCCCUACGGCGAGAACCUCUUCUGGGGCUCCGCCGGCGCCGACUGGUCGGCGUCCGACGCCGUGGGCUCCUGGGUGUCCGAGAAGCAGUACUACGACCACGACACCAACAGCUGCGCGGAGGGGCAGGUGUGCGGCCACUACACGCAGGUGGUGUGGCGCGACUCCACCGCCAUCGGCUGUGCCCGCGUCGUCUGCGACAACAACGCCGGCGUCUUCAUCAUCUGCAGCUACAACCCGCCGGGCAACGUCGUCGGCGAGAGCCCCUACUAGACUGUCAUGCAUACUACAAUUAUAUAUUUAUAUACGCUUAAUAUUAAUUUCAGCAUGCAUGCAUAUUAUAAAUAGUGUUGUCAACUCUGUAUAUCAUUAUAUUACGAUGAUUAUAUUGUUGAUGAACAUAAUAAGUCAAUAAAACCAUGCAGGCGAUUUGUGAGCCAUA
rnacentral:lncRNA from 1 species